CUUACCCAAACUAUGUGCAGCCUCAGAAAUCCAGUCAUAAAAUAUCGAUCGGGGUGAUCAUAGCUCAGGCAGGAAGGCUUGUCAUCUCCUCUCAGGAUGAAUGCGGCGAUGCUGUGUGUGUCAUUCCUGGUGCACACACU